rnacentral:rRNA from 1 species
AUUGAACGCUGGCGGCAGGCCUAACACAUGCAAGUCGAGCGGAUGAAGGGAGCUUGCUCCUGGAUUCAGCGGCGGACGGGUGAGUAAUGCCUAGGAAUCUGCCUGGUAGUGGGGGAUAACGUCCGGAAACGGGCGCUAAUACCGCAUACGUCCUGAGGGAGAAAGUGGGGGAUCUUCGGACCUCACGCUAUCAGAUGAGCCUAGGUCGGAUUAGCUAGUUGGUGGGGUAAAGGCCUACCAAGGCGACGAUCCGUAACUGGUCUGAGAGGAUGAUCAGUCACACUGGAACUGGGACACGGUCCAGACUCCUACGGGAGGAAGCAGUGGGGAAUAUUGGACAAUGGGCGAAAGCCUGAUCCAGCCCGGCCGCGUGUGUGAAGAAGGUCUUCGGAUGGUAAAGCACUUUAAGUUGGGAGGAAGGGCAGUAGGUUAAUACCUUGCUGUUUUGACGUUACCAACAGAAUAAGCACCGGCUAACUUCGUG